UACGUAGGAGGCAAGCGUUGUCCGGAAUUACUGGGCGUAAAGCGCGUGUAGGUGGUGGGACAAGUCUGCUGUGAAAGCGCCUGGCUUAACCGGGCGAGGUCGGCGGAAACUGUCCGACUCGAGGACGGUAGAGGGGGGUGGAAUUCCGGGUGUAGCGGUGGAAUGCGUAGAGAUCCGGAAGAACACCGGUGGCGAAGGCGGUUAGCUGGGCAGUUGCUGACACUGAGGCGCGACAGCGUGGGGAGCAAACAGG
rnacentral:rRNA from 1 species